GCUCACUUCGGGAGCAUGUACCCUAAAACCGGAAUGGUACAGGGGUCAGCACGGCCCCUGCAUGAGGAGGGCAUGCACAUUCAUGAAGUGGUCCAUAUUUCA